UACAGAGGCCACGAGCGUUAGGCGGAAUCACUGGGCUUAAAGCGUGUGUAGGUGGAUGGGUAAGUACCUUGUGAAAUCCCACGGCUCAACCGUGGAACUGCUUGGUAUACUGCCUGUCUUGAGGCACUCAGGGGCGAGCGGAACAGAUGGUGGAGCGGUGAAAUGCGUAGAUAUCAUCUGGAACGCCAAUGGUGGAAGACAGCUCGCUGGGGGUGUACUGACACUGAGACACGAAAGCCAGGGGAGCAAACGGG
rnacentral:rRNA from 1 species